rnacentral:rRNA from 1 species
GGGUUGUGAGGUUAAGCGACUAAGCGUACACGGUGGAUGCCCUGGCAGUCAGAGGCGAUGAAGGACGUGCUAAUCUGCGAUAAGCGUCGGUAAGGUGAUAUGAACCGUUAUAACCGGCGAUUUCCGAAUGGGGAAACCCAGUGUGAUUCGUCACACUAUCAUUAACUGAAUCCAUAGGUUAAUGAGGCGAACCGGGGGAACUGAAACAUCUAAGUACCCCGAGGAAAAGAAAUCAACCGAGAUUCCCCCAGUAGCGGCGAGCGAACGGGGAGCAGCCCAGAGCCUGAAUCAGUGUGUGUGUUAGUGGAAGCGUCUGGAAAGGCGUGCGAUACAGGGUGACAGCCCCGUACACAAAAAUGCACAUACUGUGAGCUCGAUGAGUAGGGCGGGACACGUGGUAUCCUGUCUGAAUAUGGGGGGACCAUCCUCCAAGGCUAAAUACUCCUGACUGACCGAUAGUGAACCAGUACCGUGAGGGAAAGGCGAAAAGAACCCCGGCGAGGGGAGUGAAAAAGAACCUGAAACCGUGUACGUACAAGCAGUGGGAGCACGCUUAGGCGUGUGACUGCGUACCUUUUGUAUAAUGGGUCAGCGACUUAUAUUCUGUAGCAAGGUUAACCGAAUAGGGGAGCCGAAGGGAAACCGAGUCUUAACUGGGCGUUAAGUUGCAGGGUAUAGACCCGAAACCCGGUGAUCUAGCCAUGGGCAGGUUGAAGGUUGGGUAACACUAACUGGAGGACCGAACCGACUAAUGUUGAAAAAUUAGCGGAUGACUUGUGGCUGGGGGUGAAAGGCCAAUCAAACCGGGAGAUAGCUGGUUCUCCCCGAAAGCUAUUUAGGUAGCGCCUCGUGAAUUCAUCUCCGGGGGUAGAGCACUGUUUCGGCAAGGGGGUCAUCCCGACUUACCAACCCGAUGCAAACUGCGAAUACCGGAGAAUGUUAUCACGGGAGACACACGGCGGGUGCUAACGUCCGUCGUGAAGAGGGAAACAACCCAGACCGCCAGCUAAGGUCCCAAAGUCAUGGUUAAGUGGGAAACGAUGUGGGAAGGCCCAGACAGCCAGGAUGUUGGCUUAGAAGCAGCCAUCAUUUAAAGAAAGCGUAAUAGCUCACUGGUCGAGUCGGCCUGCGCGGAAGAUGUAACGGGGCUAAACCAUGCACCGAAGCUGCGGCAGCGACGCUUAUGCGUUGUUGGGUAGGGGAGCGUUCUGUAAGCCUGUGAAGGUGUACUGUGAGGUAUGCUGGAGGUAUCAGAAGUGCGAAUGCUGACAUAAGUAACGAUAAAGCGGGUGAAAAGCCCGCUCGCCGGAAGACCAAGGGUUCCUGUCCAACGUUAAUCGGGGCAGGGUGAGUCGACCCCUAAGGCGAGGCCGAAAGGCGUAGUCGAUGGGAAACAGGUUAAUAUUCCUGUACUUGGUGUUACUGCGAAGGGGGGACGGAGAAGGCUAUGUUGGCCGGGCGACGGUUGUCCCGGUUUAAGCGUGUAGGCUGGUUUUCCAGGCAAAUCCGGAAAAUCAAGGCCGAGGCGUGAUGACGAGGCACUACGGUGCUGAAGCAACAAAUGCCCUGCUUCCAGGAAAAGCCUCUAAGCAUCAGGUAACAUCAAAUCGUACCCCAAACCGACACAGGUGGUCAGGUAGAGAAUA